rnacentral:rRNA from 1 species
ACUGAACGCUGGCGGCAGGCUUAACACAUGCAAGUCGUGCGGGGGAAGUUGCUUCGGGACUUGAGCUGGUGGGGGACGGGGGAGUAAUACUUAUGAAUCCGCCUAUUAAGGGGGGAGAAGAUCUCGAAACGGAUGCUAAUACCGCAUACGCCCUACGGGGGAAAGCAGGGCGUCAAUUGGGAACUCGCGGUAAUAGGUGAGCCUAAGGCGGGUUAGCUAGUUGGUGGGGUAAAGGCCUACCACGGCGAAGAUCUGUAGCGGGUGCGAGAGGAUGAUCCGCCACACUGGGACUGAGACACGGCCCAGACUCCUACGGGAGGCAGCAGUGGGGAAUAUUGGACAAUGGGGGGAACCCUGAUCCAGCCAUGCCGCGUGUGUGAAGAGGGGCUUAUGGUUGUAAAGCACUUUAAGCGAGGAGGAGGCUCUUUUGGGUAAUACCCAAGAUGAGUGGACGUUACUCGCAGAAUAAGCACCGGCUAACUCUGUGCCAGCCGCCGCCGUAAUAC